UGAUGUUCAGUGCAGUGUUUUUUGGAAAUCUCUAAAGCCACUAUGGCUUGUAUUGGAACCUCUUCUUUCUGGGGAUUUUGCCUUUUCCUCUCUAUCUUGGACGCUGGUAGUUCCCUGGGGGCGGAUCUUUUGAAGAAGGAACUAACUGACUUCAUUGGAUCCAUCUGGAAAAAUAUAAGCAUAUCUCUUUCUCUGUAAUAUUUUUCAGAUUUCCAUUGUUUAGUCAACCCAUCUUGAUACCAAAUGGGAAGAGGAAGGCAGGCAUCUUUCAAUGUCUCGAAAUGUUUUUCUGCUAUUGUCAAAAUAUCUCCUUGUGGAAUUUUAUGGUGUCCUGUGAGAGCUGGACUGUGAAGAAGGCUGAGCACUGAAGAAUUGAUGCUUUCGAACUGUGGUGUUGGAGAAGACUCUUGAGAGUCCCUUGGACUGCAAGGAGAUCCAACCAGUCCAUUCUGAAGGAGAUCAGCCCUGGGAUUUCUUUGGAAGGAAUGAUGCUAAAGCUGAAGCUCCAGUACUUUGGCCACCUCAUGCGAAGAGUUGACUCAUUGGAAAAGACUCUGAUCCUGGGAGGGAUUGGGGGCAGGAGGAGAAGGGGACGACAGAGGAUGAGAUGGCUGGAUGGCAUCACUGACUCGAUGGACAUGAGUCUGGGUGAAUUCCGGGAGUUGGUGAUGGACAGGGAGGCCUGGCGUGCUACGAUUCAUGGGAUCACAAAGAGUCGGACACAACUGAGCGACUGAACUCAACUGAACUGAUCUUAUAUUUAAGUCUUUCAGUCAUUUAGAGUUUAUUUUUGUGUAUGGUUUGAAGGAGUGUUCUAACUUCACUGAUUUCCAUGUGGCUAUCCAGCUUGCCCAACACCAUUUGCCAAAGAGAUAAUCUUUUCUCCAUUGUAUAUUCUUGCCUCCUUUGUUGAAGAUUAAUUAACUCUAAGUGUGUGGUUUUAUUUCUGUACCCUCUAUUCAGUUCUGUUGAUGUAUUUUCUGUUUUUGUGCCAAUACCAUGCUGUUUUGAUUACUUACUUUGUUCUAUUUCCUCAGGAUUUCUUUGGUAAUUCUGAGCCUUUUAUAGUUCCAUAAAAAUUUUAGGAUUAUUUGUUCUAAUUCUGGUGGUGCAGAGGUUAAAGCAUCUGCCUGCAAUGUGGGAGACCUGGGUUCGAUCCCUGGGUUGGGAAGAUCCCCUGGAGAAGGAAAUGGCAACCCACUCCAGUAUUCUUGCUUGGAAAAUUCCAUGGACGGAGGAGCUUGGUGGGCUACAGUCCAUGGGUCGCAAAGAGUUGGACACGAUUGAGCA
ensembl:lncRNA